rnacentral:rRNA from 1 species
GAAAAGAAACCCGGGGAUGCCCUAGUAACGGCGAGUGAAGCGGCAAUAGCUCAAAUUUGAAAGCUGGCCUUCGGGUCCGCAUUGUAAUUUGUAGAGGAUGCUUUGGGGCAGCCGCCUGUCUAAGUUCCUUGGAACAGGACGUCAUAGAGGGUGAGAAUCCCGUAUGUGACAGGACAUGGCACCCUAUGUAAAGCUCCUUCGACGAGUCGAGUUGUUUGGGAAUGCAGCUCUAAAUGGGAGGUAAAUUUCUUCUAAAGCUAAAUACCGGCGAGAGACCGAUAGCGCACAAGUAGAGUGAUCGAAAGAUGAAAAGCACUUUGGAAAGAGAGUUAAAAAGCACGUGAAAUUGUUGAAAGGGAAGCGCUUGCAAUCAGACUUGUUUAAACUGCUCGGCCGGUCUUCUGACCGGUUUAUUCAGUUUGGACAGGCCAGCAUCAGUUUUGGCGGCCGGAUAAAGGCCUCGGGAAUGUGGCUCUCACUUCGGUGAGAGUGUUAUAGCCCGGGGUGUAAUACGGCCAGCCGGGACUGAGGUCCGCGCUUCGGCUAGGAUGCUGGCGUAAUGGUUGUAAGCGACCCGUCUUGAAACACGGACCAAGGAGUCUAACAUCUAUGCGAGUGUUCGGGUGUCAAACCCCUGCGCGUAAUGAAAGUGAACGGAGGUGGGAACCGCAAGGUGCACCAUCGACCGAUCCUGAUGUCUUCGGAUGGAUUUGAGUAAGAGCAUAGCUGUUGGGACCCGAAAGAUGGUGAACUAUGCCUGAAUAGGGUGAAGCCAGAGGAAACUCUGGUGGAGGUCGCAGCGGUUCUGACGUGCAAAUCGAUCGUCAAAUUUGGGUAUAGGGGCGAAAGACUAAUC